rnacentral:lncRNA from 1 species
GAGAACUCUGCACGUGGGCAACUCUUUAGCCAGAAUCACUGUCCUUUGGUGAUCUACCCUUGCUGUCUGCCGUCAUACCAGGCUCUUCUCUAUCCCUGCUCACAUGUGCCCUGCAUUACAGCUUAUGGUUAUAUUGUGUUAUGUGAGCAUACCAGGCUCUUUUAUGCCCCAGUGCAUUUGCACAUGUUGUUCCUUCAGGCUGGGAGCCUCUUGUCUGCUUGGCAAUCAGCCUGUUGUUGUCAGCUGAUACAUCCUCUCCUCUGUGGAGGAACCUCCCCCCAACCCCAACCAAGUCACCCUUACUCCUCCCCACCAAUCAGAGGAUAGUUUUUCUUUCUCUUGUUAUCUUCCUCAUACCACAGUUAUAUCCCUGUUGGUAUUUGUUUACAUGUUCAGCAGCGCUCUUAGAGUAUAAAAUUUCCAAGGGUGGAGCCAUACCUAAUUCAUCUUUUUAUCCCAGAGCUUAGCAGAGUGCAUAGAAUACAGCAGGCAUUCAAAGUGUUUGCUGGGUGACUGGUGCAUUUGUCAAGUGACUCUUAGGGCACUGUAAUAAAGCCCUUCCAGUGAGCACCCUCACCAUCUCUUUGCUCUGCAGUAUUCUCUCAAGCAAGAUCUUUUCUUUUGAAGUAGCCAGUGGAAUAAGACCUGAAUGUUAAACCAUCAAAGCCAGGGCCUCAAGGGACAACAUGCUUUCUGCAACUAUAGCAGCCCACUUUGCUAUUUUGCCUUUUUUUUUCUCCACUGCCUGCCCCCAAGGCUAAAAUCCCUCUCUCCCCACCCCAGGAGGCGCUAAAGGGCCACUAACAAAUUUUCAUUCUUUGUGCUUAUCACCAUUACCAAGAAAAUCCUGAAUACUGUAUGCAAGACUUGAUCAGACUUGAAUUAAGGCUAUUUCUUUUUGUGUCUCAAUCAUAAUUCUCGUUAUGCUUUCCUGACUACACUUGGUCACGCUUAUGAUCAGAUCAGAGGAUGCUCCAUUUCACUGUCAGUAGCACUGACUUGUAGAAGCAGAGACCAUUUGAAAAUUGGCUAAUGUGUGUUUGUUUUGAAUUUGUUUUGUUCCAGAGAUAACUUUUCUUGGGCUGAUCCUAUCCUCAUCACCUUUUCAUAGCAUACCCUGAGCACCACUGCAGUGUUUCUGAGGAAGGAGGGAGGAAGCUGUGAUGGGGUUACAAAUGAGUAAGAACAGCCUCAGUGAGCUGAGGCUUAACAACAUGACAUUUGACAAACUUCUUUAUUUAUUAAGCAGCAUUCAAAAUAAAGAUGAACAGCCUGUCUGUGCGUCCAUUUCCUCAUUUGUAACAAGGGAAUAAUAGUGAUCUAUUCUGCCUGCCUUGAGGGGUUAGUAUGAGUAAAAUAAAAUCAAGAGAUA